rnacentral:misc_RNA from 1 species
UACGUAGGGGGCAAGCGUUGUCCGGAAUUAUUGGGCGUAAAGCGCGCGCAGGCGGUCCUUUAAGUCUGAUGUGAAAUCUUGCGGCUUAACCGCAAGCGGUCAUUGGAAACUGGGGGACUUGAGUACAGAAGAGGAGAGCGGAAUUCCACGUGUAGCGGUGAAAUGCGUAGAUAUAGGGAGGAACAUCAGUGGCGAAGGCGACCGCCUGGCCCAACACUGACGCUGAUGGACGAAAGCGUAGGUAGCGAACAGG